rnacentral:rRNA from 1 species
GCAUAUCAAUAAGCGGAGGAAAAGAAACCAACCGGGAUUGCCUUAGUAACGGCGAGUGAAGCGGCAAAAGCUCAAAUUUGAAAUCUGGUACCUUCGGUGCCCGAGUUGUAAUUUGGAGAGGGCAACUUUGGGGCCGUUCCUUGUCUAUGUUCCUUGGAACAGGACGUCAUAGAGGGUGAGAAUCCCGUGUGGCGAGGAGUGCGGUUCUUUGUAAAGUGCCUUCGAAGAGUCGAGUUGUUUGGGAAUGCAGCUCUAAGUGGGUGGUAAAUUCCAUCUAAAGCUAAAUAUUGGCGAGAGACCGAUAGCGAACAAGUACAGUGAUGGAAAGAUGAAAAGAACUUUGAAAAGAGAGUGAAAAAGUACGUGAAAUUGUUGAAAGGGAAGGGCAUUUGAUCAGACAUGGUGUUUUGUGCCCUCUGCUCCUUGUGGGUAGGGGAAUCUCGCAUUUCACUGGGCCAGCAUCAGUUUUGGUGGCAGGAUAAAUCCAUAGGAAUGUAGCUUGCCUCGGUAAGUAUUAUAGCCUGUGGGAAUACUGCCAGCUGGGACUGAGGACUGCGACGUAAGUCAAGGAUGCUGGCAUAAUGGUUAUAUGCCGCC